AAAAGGAGAUUUUGAAAGAGUAUAACUUUGUAAUCAGUUUAAAUAAAUCAAAUUGUUUUAAAUAUCUCAUUUCUAAUUGUGCGGGAUUGAGGGAUGAAUUUAUUGAAAGGAUUACUGAGUUUAUUGCUAAAGCUCAAACACUUGAUGAUUUUCUUAUUGGAGGAAGGAUUAGGUGCCCUUGUGUGAAAUGCAAGUGUGUUAAGUUAUUGAAAACAGACGAAAUUAAAGUUCAUCUCUACAAGAAAGGAUUUGUAGAAAAUUAUUAUAUAUGGAGUGUUCACGGGGAAAAUCAUACUAGUUUAGAUGAUGUUAACUUUCAGAAUUUCUUUUGGUGGUGAGGGUAGCCCCAUAGCGGAGUGUAAUGUUGAAAAUUCUUGAUACACUGAAAUGAUGAGGAAUGCUUUUGGGAUGUUUCCUGGGUUCAAUCCGAACCAAAUGAUGAGGCUAAGCGCUUCUAUGAAUAGUUAGAGGAAGCUAGUCGUCCAUUGUAUGAAGGCUCGAUGCAUUCCAAGUUGUCUGUUGCGGUUAGAUUGCUAAAUAUUAAAUCGGAUAGUUCUAUUUCCCAAGCGGUCAUGAAUUCUAUUAUUGGGCUUAUGAAUGAACUUAAUUUGAGCAACGUUGACUUACAAAUAGAUUUCUACACUGCUAAAAAAUUGGUUUCUAAGUUGGGCUUUUCAUUAGAGAAAAUUGAUUGUUGUGAGAAAGGUUGCAUGUUAUUCUAUAAAGAUGACGCAUCUCUAGAGAACUGUAAAUUUUGUAAUCAGCGUCGUUUUAAGGAAGUCACAAAUGCCAAUAUAAAAAAGAAGGUUCCAAUUAAAACGAUGCAUUACUUACCUCUUAUACCUAGGUUAGAGAAGUUGUAUGCAUCAAUGAGCUCUGCUCCUCAUAUGAGAUAACACUAUUAACAUGAAGGCCACCCGGUAUUCUAUUCCAUUUGUUAGAUGGAGAAGCGUGGAAGCAUUUUGAUAGGGUGUUCCCCGAGUUUUCUAGUGAACCAAGAAACAUUAGGUUGACAUUAUGUGCAGAUGGAUUCACUCCAUUUGUUGUCUCUGCUGCACCAUAUUCAUGUUGACCAGUGUUUGUUACCCAGUAUAAUCUUCCACCCGAGUUGUGUAUGCCAAGUCCAUAUAUGUUCCUAACUUGUAUUGUUCCAAGUCCACGCAAUCCGAAAAGUUUGUUUGAUGUAUACUUGCAGCCUUUGAUUGAUGAGAUACAAUUAUUGUGGCAUCAAGGUGUGGAAACAUAUGAUAUAUCAACAAAACAAAACAUCAGAUUGCAUGCUGCUUUGAUGUGGGCUAUAAAUAAUUCCUGCUUAUGGAAUAUUGUCUAGGUAGUCGACUGCUGGAAAAUUAGCUUGCCCUUGUUGUAUGGAAGACAUAAAAGCAUUUACUUUGAAACAUGGAGGUAAAAAUACAUGGUUCGACUGCCACCGUAGAUUCUUGCCAAUAAAUCAUGAAUUUAGGCGAAAUACAAGUGCAUUUAUAAAGAACCGAACUGAUUUUGAGGAGCCACCGACCUCCUUGUGUUCAGAAGAAUUUUGGAACAGAGUAAGGAAUCUGCCUAAAGUAACAGAGUCUCCACCAUCUAAGAUACCAGGUUAUGGUGUCACAGAUAACUGAACUAAACAGAGCAUAUUUUGGGAGUUACCUUAUUGGAAGCAUCAUCUUCUUUGGCAUAAUUUGGACCUCAUGCAUAUCGAGAAGAAUUUUUUUGACAACUUAUUUAACACUGUUAUGGAUGUUACUAACAAGACCAAAGAUAACUUUAAGGCCAUGAUGAACUUAAAUGAAUAUUGUAGGCAAAGUGAGUUAUAUAUGACAUACUUUAACAACAAGAUUCAAAAGCCCAAAGCCAGUUACACGUUCAUUUUGGAUGUGAGAAGAGAGAUUUGUAGUUGGGUUAACAAUUUGAGGAUGCCUGAUGGGUACGAAUCAAAUUUAUCCAGGUGUGUUGACAUGAAAGAAGGGAAGUUGGCGUCAAUGAAAAGCCAUGAUUGUCAUAUUUUCAUUGAAGCAUUGAUUCUUAUUACAUUCAAUGCAUUGCUUGAUCGAAUAUGAAAACCGAUUACAAAGAUAAGUUGCUUUUUCAAGGAUUUGUGUUCUAGCACAUUGAGGGCGGAGAACCUAAUUUAUAUGGAGAGUAACAUUAUUUUAACUUUAAACAAGCUGGCAAAAAUAUUUCCUCUUGAUUUUUUUUUAUGUAAUGAAACAUCUUCCAAUUCACCAUGCACAAGAGGCACGACUUGGAGGGCCAGUUCAAUGUAGAUGGAUGUAUCCCUUAGAGAGGUAAUGCCAUUUAAUCAUUUACCUUUUGUAUUUGCUUUCAAGAUUGUUUCGUCUAAAAAUCUCACUAUGCAGGACUAUUGGCAAAUGUAAACUGGUCGUAAAAAAUAGAUCAAGAAUUGAGGGUUCGAUAUGUGAGGCAUAUGUGGCUAAAGAAACAUCUUAUUUCUGCCCAUAUUAUUUUGAACAUGAUGUGCCAUGUUUGAGAAAUAGACUGAAUCGGUAUGAUGAUGAAGGCGAAAUCGAUCCUUUGGUACCACCCUUUUCUAUUUUUAAUCAAUCAGGCAAAUGAGGUCCAAAAAAUAGUCCAAAGCGAAGGUUGUUUGAGAUGGAGCUAAAGUCAGCUACAACACAUGUAUUGUUGAAUUGCCCUAAGGUCCAACUUUAUCAUAGCUACUUUGUGGGUACAUAUAGGCAAGAUAUUGUUUAUCCCAAGUUUUUACAGGUUUACAGAAUUUGUUCAUGAUCCAACUAAUUGCAUUAAUGACCUAUUUUUACGUGAUAUAUCUUGGGGACUUGACUCUAGAGUCAGAAUGAUAUCUAAAUACUUGGUCAAUGGGUACAAGUUUCAUACAGAAGAAUGGUCUAAGGGAAAGAAAACCAACAAUAGUGGAGUGUGGGUGAAAGGUGAUGGAGAUGUUGAUUAUUAUGAUAUGCUUCAAGAUAUUUUGGAAUUGGAGUAUACUGUAAGUUGGUUGAAAAAAAAGUUGGUACUCUUUCAAUGUAAGUGGUAUGAUCCAACACCGAAUAGAGGUCCAAAGGUGCAUGUUCAGUACAAAAUAGUUGAAAUUAAAUACAUGGAGCAACAUACACUUUAUGAUCUCUUUAUCAUUGCACAGAAGGUGAAACAAGUGUAUUAUGCUCCUUAUCCUUUGAGCAAGAAUAGUUUGCAUGGCGGUUAGUUUUGAAAAUAAAUCCCGUGGGUAGAGUGGAAGUCGAAGAUGCAUUAGAUGUGACGUACCAGAAUGACAUUUCAAGUGUUGAAUCAAUAUUAGAUGAUGAAUUAGCAGAUGAAUUGCAGCAUAAUAAAGGGAUAUAUGAAGAAUUUGAUCCUUCUGUCCUUGGACCAAAUGAUGACGAAGAUAGAGGUGUUGAAUAUGAAACAAGUGACGAGGAAGAAUUACUAGAUGACAAUGAAACAUGCGAUGAUGAAGACUUAGAUGAUUACUAUAUAGAUAGCGAUGGGGACUGACUUGUUAUUCUUUUUUAUGUUGUUCUUCCUUCAAUCAUUUAGUAUAUUCGAAGAAUAGUUGUAUGU